rnacentral:rRNA from 1 species
UACGGAGGGUGCAAGCGUUAAUCGGAAUUACUGGGCGUAAAGCGCACGCAGGUGGCUGAGUAAGUCGAUUGUGAAAGCCCUGGGCUUAACCUGGGAAUUGCAGUCGAAACUACUCGGCUAGAGUAUGGGAGAGGGCAGUGGAAUUCCCGGUGUAGCGGUGAAAUGCGUAGAUAUCGGGAGGAACAUCAGUGGCGAAGGCGGCUGCCUGGCCCAAUACUGACACUCAGAUGCGACAGCGUGGGGAGCAAACAGG